ACUUCCCCCUGUGGACCAGACGACUAGGUUUUUAAAUAACUUGCCGGCACCCAAACGUAAUAGGACAACCAUUCAUGUUGAGCCCUGCUGAAGUUGAGAAAUAUAUAGUUCAGAUAAAAAAACUUUAAAGAAAGCCAUAUAUUGUUCGUUGAUCAUUGGCAUAUAUCAGACGGUGUAAUCACGUGAUAGACAAGAUGGCGACGUCCAUGCCGAGGCAGGUGUUUAACGUCGCUUGAGAUCAGCUGCGUCACUUCCGGUCCAGUCUUCCAGAUUUUCCUGGAAUGGUCUCCCCUUCCCCGCAGAUACCUCUCACGUCUACAAUCAAUACCGACCGCCUGUCACGCUUCGUGGGUUAUGAACGACAAUCACGCUUUGUUACCGAUGAGCGCUUGUCCGAACAGAAGGAAUGGCUGUAGAAGUUUCAACAGGACGCCAGUUUCACGAGGGCUACCGCUUCCGAUGCAGGAUCUGUGUAUAUUUGGUAACAGUGGUGAUUGUCAGUUUUUGAAAAACCUUUAAUUACAUUCAAGUAUAAUUUCUCCACAUUUGGGCCUUCAUAUAUUUUCAUACCAUGGCAUUUGGCAGUUUAAGUUACAUUUUGUAUAGCGAGGGGUGAAAGCGAAACGGCUCUUACUGACAUUUUUUCACAAAAUGACUUUUUUGUAUAUUUUGUAUCGCAACACCCAUGCCCAUCAUGAAUUAAAAUAUCUUAGUUCAAGGCAAUCAAAUAAAAAGUAAAAUAGAAA